UUGCUGUUGGUGCUGAAAAGUGGGCUACAUUUGAGGAGGAAAGUGCGAGGAGCGAAGCCAGUGUGAAGAGGGAGGCCAUAGAGAAGGCUGUGACUGAAAUCAUGGUGGGUGAUGAAGCAAAGGAAAUGAGAAAAAGAUCUAAAGCGCUUAGAGAAAUGGCAAGCAGGGCUGUUGAAGAAGGUGGUUCAUCUUACUCGGAUUUAACUGCUCUAAUUGAAGAGUUGAAGUCCCUUAGGCCUUGAUUCUGUUGAAGCAACCAAAAUGCCAACAUUUUUCUACCAAACUUGGAUCAACUUUCUACAUGUAAUAUGUAGAAUUCAAAUUAAUGGCAAAAGAGAAAGCAUUGUUCUUCAACAUGUGUUGUAUGCUUGUAUAGCUCCUAAGCAUGGAAUCAUAAUCCAAUGCUGAAGAGAUGAGGCAUCAAUGUAAUAUCUAAUGAGUAUGAACUACCACCACCUAAGUGCAAAUUGAAAUAGUAACAAGUCCUAUUUCCAAAAUGAUCAAUUGAAAUAGUAACAAGUUUUCCCAAAAGCUUUUGGUUUUAGAAAGCUCUUUGAAUUAAUCACCUCAGUAAACAUGAAAUUUACCUUCUUCAGAAUUCACUGCAGAUAUUUGCAAGUGUGAUCAAGCUUGAUGAUGCUCAGCUGAUGGGAAUUGAUUUGGGUCUUGAACCUUCUGGGUAGAAAUGCAAAUGGGUUUUUAAAAGAAAUGAAAAUAAUGAUCAGGAAAGUAAAGACAAGUGGCUGCUUGUACGAUUUGAGAUGAGGGUAUUUGAGAUGAAACACGAAGAAGCUGACUGAGGUGAUGAGAAGCCAAGAAACUGAGAAAGAAACAAGUGUGGAAGAAGGUGGAUCAUCAUGGUACAUGGGAAUUGGGCUGGAUGCCAUCAACUAAAACCAGGGUAGUAGGCCGAAUCCAAUACUAGGUCCCAACAUAGACCAAGGGCAAAGGUCCAGACCCAGAUCUAUUUCGGGACGUGGACGAUACGAUACACAUGCCACAAGCAACUGCAUGAUCGCCGGCUAUGUCUUUCUCGACUAAUUUUUGUGCCAUUUUUGUGCAUGAGACACUGUCGGACUGUCCUCGUGUAUUUUUUUUUUUUUUUGGUCAAAUAAAACAGAGAAACUACAAAACAAAACCUGUAGAAAUUCCCUCACCCAGCUAAUUCAAAUGGAACACUUGGGACACAAAAAAGGAGAGACGGUUAUGCCAAACUGCAACAGUCUGAUCCUGAAGAUCAAACAUUGUCCUCGUGUUUUACGAGAAACAAUGUGAGAUUUGGUGAAGAUGCUGUUGAGAAGCAGUUAAAAAGUAGAUGUUACCAAAAAGAAAAAUUAAUCAAAUCAAAUUUGAGACGUGAAGGAUAGGUCCUAAUCUUUUUCUAGUAAGGUAUUUCUUGUAUAUAUGUUUUAGAAGAUACUUCUAGAUGUAUCGAACAG
rnacentral:lncRNA from 1 species